GGGAAAUGUGACUGUGGAAGAGAUGCACCGAGGCUGGCUUUAAAGAUGGAGGAAGGGCAUCAUGAGCCAAGGAAGAUGAAGGUCAUGGAGGUUUGCCCAUACCAGUGGGAAAUGUGGAGCUGGGACCCAAGGACAUCUUCUCAGCCAGCCACCGUGCAUGUGACUUCCCUGGUUGAUCCAGCCAACUGCAGGACCAAGAUAUUUCUAGUGCAAGAUAGGAGAGAUGAGUAAUAGAGACCACAGCCCUUGGAAACCUUGAUCAAGUAGAAUAAGAACACCUUCCUCAGCUCUCUUUGCAAGUGGCCAAAGCUUAGUGGCUCUGGGAGAAAAAUUCAACAGGAAAACCUACAGAAGUGCCUUGAGAAAGGACCACAGUAGCCUCUUCUAAGCCAAAUUGAGUAAAUAAAAAUGAGUGCUAUUAAAAUAUCCAAUUAAUC
rnacentral:lncRNA from 1 species